rnacentral:rRNA from 1 species
UACAGAGAGUGCAAGCGUUAAUCGGAAUUAUUGGGCGUAAAGCGCACGUAGGUGGAUAUUUAAGUCGGAUGUGAAAUCCCUGAGCUUAACUUAGGAAUUGCAUUCGAUACUGGGUGUCUAGAAUAUAGUAGAGGGAAGUGGAAUUUCUGGUGUAGCGGUGAAAUGCGUAGAUAUCAGAAGGAACAUCAGUGGCGAAAGCGGCUUCCUGGACUAAUAUUGACACUUAGGUGCGAAAGCGUGGGGAGCAAACAGG